UUUCAGAGCAGAAGGCUAACCACAGGACAUUCCAGCUGUGACUCAUUGCCACUACUGGCGAGCAUUCUGGCUUGGUCCCGCGAAGGAAACCACUCUAGAAAUAGUUUUGAGAGACAAAAUAUGACGGGUGUAGAGAACUUGAGCUGACUCAUGUAAAACACUUCACAGAAAUCAUCCCCGGCAGACCAGAUGGGAAAGCAGUGAAUCAAUGAAUCACUUGUGAAGAGAUGGACGGCCAACAUGAAUCGCUUGCAGUGUGUUGCUAUGACAACCUGCUUCUGUGUGGACCCUGAGGCCAUUCCCAAGUGUGGGGUGCGUGGCCCAGAGCAAACCAUACCGUGGGGGACAGCGUAAGCCUGAGCUUCGAGUGAAGUAAGUGGACUAAAAUGUUGGCUUCAUCAUUUAUCCUUUGUGAGAAGUGCCAAAUGCAUCAGUGACGCCAGCUGCAGACAGAAAGCAAGAGGAAACUCAAGUGUCUUAAGAGAUGAACCAUUAAUUAUAUCUCAGGCUUGUCUUCGCCUGGACCAGCCCCACUCCCAUCCAAUCAUUGGUCCACUUCUGCUGAUUUUACCUCCUCGGUGCUCUCAAGUCCUUCCAUUACAUUCUCCCUCCUCAGCUCGCAAGGAACUGGUGCUCUCUCUC